AAAGUCACCUGGCAGGGGAGAUACCAUGAUCACAAAGGUGGUUUUCCCAGGGUGAGUCUUGUCCAUCGCACAAAGAUGCAGAGUCCUGGCAAAAGCUUCCUCUGAUUCAGAAGAGGCUUUGACUUUUGUAGCCUCAUAGGGUCAUUAUUCUAAAGCCCCCAG
ensembl:snRNA U1 U1 spliceosomal RNA